UGUUAGCUCAGUUGGUAGAGCAGCUGACUCUUAAUCAGCGGGUCGUGGGUUCGAGCCCCCCAC
rnacentral:tRNA from 1 species